AGGUGUCUGGGGUGUUAAGCGGGUAUAAGAAGGGGGCCCGAUCUAGCAGGGGAGUCAUGAAAAGUUUCCUCCAGGAAGCCAUGUUGGGCCUGAGCUCUGAAGGAGGGAUAGGAAUUGUCUAGGCAAAAGGAUGGAGAUGGAAAGAUACCAGGUAGAGGGAAGAGCACGUGUGAAGGUGUAAAACAGCAGAAGGCGAGCCCCAGUGGCUGGAGCAGAUAGAGUGGGAGAAGGCGCCCGGUGAGAGCUCGAGGCCAAGUUGGUGGACGGCGAAAGGCAUCCCCAGGAGCCACCUGUGAGGGCGCACUGGCAGAGAAGCCUAGCUCGUUGCCCAGCCUGAUGCUUGCCGAGCCCCAGAACCGAGAGCCCGCGUGAGGACACACCUCAGGGCACGAGCUCUGUGCAUCCAUCAUGAGAGUACACCGUGAUUUGUCUAAAAAGUUCCCCAGAUUCAUUCAUCUUUUGCAAGUUUAAGCAAUGCUGCCACGUAAGCCCCUGUAUCCACCCUGAGCCACGUGUCUGGCUCGAGUUCAUCUGUGGGUAAUUUCAGAGCGCAUCCCUUGAACACAGCCUCUGCUUCUUGAGGACCGUCGUCCUGACUUAGAAAUCAAGCCCUUUUGGCAGCCGGAAGCUGCGAGCCCCAGAGCCGGGCCACUCCCCUUGCUGAUGAUCUGAACGAAGCUGGCUCAGCCUUGGACGUGGCGGAUGUCCCUUUCACUCUGUCCACUUCUGCUAUGAAGACUGUGUCCUCCACAUGGAGCAUUUCUUCCAACUGCCUUGCUCUUGUUCUUUUAGGGAUUUCCUUCUCCCUCUGCAUCUCUGGGGGCAGAAAUCCCCCUGCUGGUUCCCUCUGAGGCUGUCCUGUCUCCUCUAUCCCAUGUUGCUUAGCAGAGGGGAUGGCCAGGCACGGCCCAGCUUUUGCUUGUGACACGGACCAGGGUUUUAUUUAUAGGACGAGGGGCUCUGAAUUCACUGAUCUGUCCUGGGUGACACCAUCUGAGAAGCCACAGCCAAACCUGAAGUACCUUGAACACCUAGAAGAAAAUCUGAUGACCACUUAAGAGAAGCGAAGAAAAGUCAGUAGCUUUCCAGAGCUUGGAAUACAGCGGCUUUACCCGCAGCCGCGAUAGCAGGGCUCCUGGGGCAGGCUCCACCACCAGACGCUCUUCCCUGGCUUGUCAAAAUCCUUGACUCUUACCGCUGCUGCUAAUAAACAAAACGAACGACCUGACUUGCUUCUGAGGCCCACUGAGCCCC